UUGGCGUUAGGGUUAAAAUCACUGUCCAAAACCUUUUUAGGAACAUGUUUCAGACCUUUUGGAGUUGGUUACACCAAAAAAAAUGUAAAAUGAAAAAAAAAAAUUGGGGGGUUUUCGGGCUUCCUGAAGGUAAUACCCAGGUAUUAGAUUUCAAGGCUAGGGUAAGGUUUAAGGUUUUUGGCGUUAGGGUUAAAAUCACUGUCCAAAACCUUUGUAGGAACUCUUUUCCAACCUUUUGGAGUUAGUUAGACCAAAAAAAUAUGAAAAAUUAAAAAACAAUGUUUGGGGUUUUCGGGGUUCCUGAAUGUAAUACCCGGGUAUUAGAUUUUGAGGCUAGGGUAAGGAUUAAGUUUUUUGGCAUUAGGGUUAAAAUCACUGUCCAAAACCUUUGUAGGAACUCUUUUCCAACCUUUUGGAGUUGGUUACACCAACAAAAAUGUAAAAUGAAGAAAAAAAUAUUUGGGGUGUUCAGGCUUCCUGAAGGUAAUACCCGGGUUAUUAGAUUUCAAGGCUAGGGUAAGGUUUAAGGUUUUUGGCGUUAGGGUUAAAAUCACUGUCCAAAACCUUUGUAGGAACUCUUUUCCAACCUUUUGGAGUUAGUUAGACCAAAAAAUAUGAAAAAAGAAAAAAGUAUUAUUGGGGGUUUUCGGGCUCCCUGAAAGUAAUACCCGUGUAUUAGGUUUUGGGACUAGGGAAAGGUUUAAGGGUUUUGGCAUUAGGGUUAAAAUCACUGUCCAAAACCUUUGUAGGAACUCUUUUCCAACCUUUUGGAGUUAGUUAGACCAAAAAAAAAAAGAAAAAUGAAAAAAAAAUAUUUGGGGUGUUCAGGCUUCCUAAAAGUAAUACCCGGGUAUUAGGUUAUGGGGCUAUGGUAAGGUUUAAGGUUUUUGGCGUUAGGGUUAAAAUCACUGUCCAAAACCUUUUUUGGAACAUGUUUCAGACCUUUUGGAGUUAGUUAGACCAAAAAAAAAAAGAAAAAAAAAAUAUUUUGGGUGUUCAGGACUCCUGAAGGUUAUACAGGUAUUAUAUUAGGUUAUGGGGCUUGGGUAAGGUUAAAGGUUUUUGGCGUUAGGGUUAAAAUCACUGUCCAAAACCUUUAUAGGAACAUGUUUCAGACCUUUUGGAGUUGGUUACACCAAAAAAAAUGUAAAAAGAAAAAAAAAUAAUUGGGGUGUUCGGGCUUCCUGAAGGUAAUACCCAGGUAUUAGGUUAUGGGGCUAUGGUAAGGUUUAAGGUUUUUGGCGUUAGGGUUAAAAUCACUGUCCAAAACCUUUUUAGGAACUCUUUUCCAACCUUUUGGAGUUAGCUAGACCAAAAAAAAAAAAAAAGAAAAAUGAAAAAAAAAAAUGUUUGGGGUGUGAAGGAUUCCUUAAGUUAAUACCCGGGUGUUAGGUUCGGGAAUAGGGUAAGGUUGAAGGGUUUUGGCGUUAGGGUUAAAAUCACUGUCCAAAACCUUUUUAGGAACAUGUUUCAGACCUUUUGGAGUUGGUUACACCAAAAAAAAUGUAAAAUGAAAAAAAAAAAUUGGGGGGUUUUCGGGCUUCCUGAAGGUAAUACCCAGGUAUUAGAUUUCAAGGCUAGGGUAAGGUUUAAGGUUUUUGGCGUUAGGGUUAAAAUCACUGUCCAAAACCUUUGUAGGAACUCUUUUCCAACCUUUUGGAGUUAGUUAGACCAAAAAAAUAUGAAAAAUUAAAAAACAAUGUUUGGGGUUUUCGGGGUUCCUGAAUGUAAUACCCGGGUAUUAGAUUUUGAGGCUAGGGUAAGGAUUAAGUUUUUUGGCAUUAGGGUUAAAAUCACUGUCCAAAACCUUUGUAGGAACUCUUUUCCAACCUUUUGGAGUUGGUUACACCAACAAAAAUGUAAAAUGAAGAAAAAAAUAUUUGGGGUGUUCAGGCUUCCUGAAGGUAAUACCCGGGUAUUAGAUUUCAAGGCUAGGGUAAGGUUUAAGGUUUUUGGCGUUAGGGUUAAAAUCACUGUCCAAAACCUUUGUAGGAACUCUUUUCCAACCUUUUGGAGUUAGUUAGACCAAAAAAUAUGAAAAAAGAAAAAAGUAUUAUUGGGGGUUUUCGGGCUCCCUGAAAGUAAUACCCGUGUAUUAGGUUUUGGGACUAGGGAAAGGUUUAAGGGUUUUGGCAUUAGGGUUAAAAUCACUGUCCAAAACCUUUGUAGGAACUCUUUUCCAACCUUUUGGAGUUAGUUAGACCAAAAAAAAAGAAAAAUGAAAAAAAAAUAUUUGGGGUGUUCAGGCUUCCUAAAAGUAAUACCCGGGUAUUAGGUUAUGGGGCUAUGGUAAGGUUUAAGGUUUUUGGCGUUAGGGUUAAAAUCACUGUCCAAAACCUUUUUUGGAACAUGUUUCAGACCUUUUGGAGUUAGUUAGACCAAAAAAAAAAAGAAAAAAAAAAAAUAUUUUGGGUGUUCAGGACUCCUGAAGGUUAUACAGGUAUUAUAUUAGGUUAUGGGGCUUGGGUAAGGUUAAAGGUUUUUGGCGUUAGGGUUAAAAUCACUGUCCAAAACCUUUGUAGGAACUCUUUUCCAACCUUUUGGAGUUAGUUAGACCAAAAAAAAAAAGAAAAAUGAAAAAAAAAUAUUUUGGGUUUUCGGGCUUCCUGAAGGUAAUACCCGGGUAUUAGGUUUUGUGGCUAGGGAAAGGUUUAAGGUUUUUGGCAUUAGGGUUAAAAUCACUGUCCAAAACCUUUGUAGGAACUCUUUUCCAACCUUUUGGAGUUACUUAGACCAAAAAAAAAAGAAAAAUGAAAAAAGAAAUAUUUGGGGUUUUCGGGCUUCCUGAAUGUAAUACCCGGGUAUUAGGUUAUGGGGCUAUGGUAAGGUUUAAGUUUUUUGGCAUUAGGUUUAAAAUCACUGUCCAAAACCUUUGUAGGAACUCUUUCCCAACCUUUUGGAGUUAGUUAGACCAAAAAAAAAUGAAAAAUGAAAAAAAAAUGUUUGGGGUUUUCGGGCUUCCUGAAUGUAAUACCCGGGUAUUAGAUUUUAAGGCUAGGGUAAGGUUUAAGUUUUAUGGCGUUAGGGUUAAAAUCACUGUCCAAAACCUUUGUAGGAACUCUUUUCCAACCUUUUGGAGUUAGUUAGACCAAAAAAAAAAUGAAAAAUGAAAAAAAAAACAUAUUUGGGGUGUUCAGGCUUCCUAAAAGUAAUACCCCGGUAUUAGGUUAUGGGGCUAUGGUAAGGUUUAAGGUUUUUGGCGUUAGUGUUAAAAUCACUGUCCAAAACCUUUGUAGGAACUCUUUUCCAACCUUUUGGAGUUAGCUAGACCAAAAAAAUUAAAAAAGGAAAAAAAUAUAUUUGGGGUUUUCGGGCUUCCUGAAGGUAAUACCCGGGUAUUAGGUUUUGGGGCUAGGGUAAGGUUUAAGGUUUUUGGCAUUAGGGUUAAAAUCACUGUCCAAAACCUUAGUAGGAACUCUUUUCCAACCUUUUGGAGUUGGUUACACCAACAAAAAUGUAAAAUGAAAAAAAAUAUUUGGGGCUUUCGGGCUUCCUGAAGGUUAUACCCGGGAAUUAGAUUUUAUGGCUAGGGUAAGGUUUAAGUUUUUUUGGCGUUAGGGUUAAAAUCACUGUCCAAAACCUUUGUAGGAACUCUUUUCCAACCUUUUGGAGUCAGUUAGACCAAAAAAAAACGAAAAAUGAAAAAAAAAUAUUUGGGGUGUUCAGGCUUCCUAAAAGUAAUACCCGGGUAUUAGGUUAUGGGGCUAUGGUAAGGUUUAAGGUUUAUGGCAUUAGGGUUAAAAUCACUGUCCAAAACCUUUGUAGGAACUCUUUUCCAACCUUUUGGAGUUAGUUACACCAACAAAAAUGUAAAAUGAAAAAAAAAUAUUUGGGGUUUUCGGGCUUCCUGAAUGUAAUACCCGGGUAUUAGAUUUUAAGGCCAGGGAAAGGUUUAAGUUUUUUGGCGUUAGGGUUAAAAUCACUGUCCAAAACCUUUGUAGGAACUCUUUUCCAACCUUUUGGAGUUAGUUAGACCAAAAAAAAAAACGAAAAAUGAAAAAAAAAUAUUUGGGGUGUUCAGGCUUCCUAAAAGUAAUACCCGGGUAUUAGGUUAUGGGGCUAUGGUAAGGUUUAAGGUUUAUGGCGUUAGGGUUAAAAUCACUGUCCAAAACCUUUAUAGGAACUAUUUUCCAACCUUUUGGAGUUAGUUAGACCAAAAAAAAUGAAAAAUGAAAAAAAAAAGAGAAAUGUAAAUCUGAUCAAUGUCCUAAGGGAAAAUCUGUACGUGUGUGUGUGUGUUCUUUUUUGCUAACUUAGUCUGGUGUCACUGAUGGUCAGUUAUUGAUAAGUAUUUAUUAUUUAAAUUUUUGAUGAAGUUGUUUGUAGUGGGGUUAGCUGGCUAAUUUUAGAGUGUUAAAAAAGAUGAUAGAGGGGGAGGAUUUAGGGGGCACGGCGGUUCCCCUUCAGGUCUCUCUUAAUCCUCCAUAUAGGUGACCCAACAGGGGUUACCCCCCGGCCGGGGUAGGCCGAGGCUGAAGAUCACCUAUUUGUCCUCUGUGAAGGUGAAAAUAAAGGGGCAGGGGAGGGAAUAAGAAAGGGGGGGUGUUAGAGAGAGGGGGAGAGAUGAGGGGGAGAGAUGAGGGAGAGAGAUGAGGGAGAGAGAGAGAGAGAGAGAGAGAGAGAGAGAGAGAGAGAGAGAGAGAGGUGUGUGUGUGUGUGUGUGUGUGUGAGAGAGGGAGAGAGAGAGAGAGAGAGAAGGGAAGAGGGAGAGGGGGGUUUAAGGGAGAGGUGGAGAUGGUGGAAAAUAAAGAUUGGUGAGGGGGAUGUUGACAUAUCACAUGUUCCCAGUCAAGUCUCCAAGCUCAAUCUGUGUGUAAAAAUUAUGUGUUGGUAGGAAGUUUAAUGACUCCACUCAAUUGGUAUGCCAUGCUGUCUAUCUUUUAGACUAUGUGUUUGUAAAUUAUGUAUAUAUUAUAUUACAGGGCUAGGGUAAGGUUAAAGGUUUUUGGCGUUAGGGUUAAAAUCACUGUCCAAAACCUUUGUAGGAACUCUUUUCCAACCUUUUGGAGUAAGCUAGACCAAAAAAAAAAAAAUGAAAAAUGAAAAAAAAAAUGUUUGGGGUGUGAAGGCUUCCUUAAGUUAAUACCCGGGUAUAAGGUUCGGGAAUAGGGUAAGGUUGAAGGUUUUUGGCGUUAGGGUUAAAAUCACUGUCCAAAACCUUUAUAGGAACAUGUUUCAGACCUUUUGGAGUUGGUUACACCAAAAAAAAUGUAAAAUGAAAAAAAAAUAAUUGGGGUGUUCGGGCUUCCUGAAGGUAAUACCCAGGUAUUAGGUUAUGGGGCUAUGGUAAGGUUUAAGGUUUUUGGCGUUAGGGUUAAAAUCACUGUCCAAAACCUUUUUAGGAACAUGUUUCAGACCUUUUGGAGUUAGUUAGACCAAAAAAAAAAAAGAAAAAAAAAAAAUGUUUUGGGUGUUCAGGACUCCUGAAGGUUAUACAGGUAUUAUAUUAGGUUAUGGGGAUUGGGUAACGUUUAAGGUUUUUGGCGUUAGGGUUAAAAUCACUGUCCAAAAUCUUUGUAGGAACUCUUUUCCAACCUUUUGGAGUUAGUUAGACCAAAAAAAAAAAGAAAAAUGAAAAAAAAAUAUUUGGGGUUUUCGGGCUUCCUGAAGGUAAUACCCGGGUAUUAGGUUUUGUGGCUAGGGAAAGGUUUAAGGUUUUUGGCAUUAGGGUUAAAAUCACUGUCCAAAACCUUUGUAGGAACUCUUUUCCAACCUUUUGGAAUUAGCUAGACCAAAAAAAUAUGAAAAAUUAAAAAACAAUGUUUGGGGUUUUCGGGGUUCCUGAAUGUAAUACCCGGGUAUUAGAUUUUGAGGCUAGGGUAAGGAUUAAGUUUUUUGGCAUUAGGGUUAAAAUCACUGUCCAAAACCUUUUUAGGAACAUGUUUCAGACCUUUUGGAGUUAGUUAGACCAAAAAAAAUGUAAAAUGAAAAAAAAAUGUUUGGGGUUUUCGGGCUUCCUGAAUGUAAUACCCGGGUAUUAGAUUUUAAGGCUAGGGUAAGGUUUAAGUUUUAUGGCGUUAGGGUUAAAAUCACUGUCCAAAACCUUUGUAGGAACUCUUUCCCAACCUUUUGGAGUUAGUUAGACCAAAAAAAAAAAAUGAAAAAUGAAAAAAAAAUAUUUGGGGUGUUCAGGCUUCCUAAAAGUAAUACCCGGGUAUUAGGUUAAGGGGCUAUGGUAAGGUUAAAGUUUUUGGCAUUAGUGUUAAAAUCACUGUCCAAAACCUUUGUAGGAACUCUUUCCCAACCUUUUGGAGUUAGUUAGACCAAAAAAAAUGAAAAAUGAAAAAAAAAUGUUGGGGGUUUUCGGGCUUCCUGAAGGUAAUACCCAGGUAUUAGGUUAUGGGGCUAUGGUAAGGUUUAAGGUUUUUGGUGUUAGGGUUAAAAUCACUGUCCAAAACCUUUUUAGGAACUCUUUUCCAACCUUUUGGAGUUACUUAGACCAAAAAAUAUGAAAAAGGAAAAAAAAAUAUUUGGGGUGUUCGGGCUUCCUGAAGGUAAUACCCAGGUAUUAGGUUAUGGGGCUAGGGUAAGGUUUAAGUUUUAUGGCGUUAGGGUUAAAAUCACUGUCCAAAACCUUUGUAGGAACUCUUUUCCAACCUUUUGGAGUUAGUUAGACCAAAAAAAAAAAUGAAAAAUGAAAAAAAAAACAUAUUUGGGGUGUUCAGGCUUCCUAAAAGUAAUACCCCGGUAUUAGGUUAUGGGGCUAUGGUAAGGUUUAAGGUUUUUGGCGUUAGUGUUAAAAUCACUGUCCAAAACCUUUGUAGGAACUCUUUUCCAACCUUUUGGAGUUAGCUAGACCAAAAAAAUUAAAAAAGGAAAAAAAUAUAUUUGGGGUUUUCGGGCUUCCUGAAGGUAAUACCCGGGUAUUAGGUUUUGGGGCUAGGGUAAGGUUUAAGGUUUUUGGCAUUAGGGUUAAAAUCACUGUCCAAAACCUUAGUAGGAACUCUUUUCCAACCUUUUGGAGUUGGUUACACCAACAAAAAUGUAAAAUGAAAAAAAAAUAUUUGGGGCUUUCGGGCUUCCUGAAGGUUAUACCCGGGAAUUAGAUUUUAUGGCUAGGGUAAGGUUUAAGUUUUUUUGGCGUUAGGGUUAAAAUCACUGUCCAAAACCUUUGUAGGAACUCUUUUCCAACCUUUUGGAGUCAGUUAGACCAAAAAAAAACGAAAAAUGAAAAAAAAAUAUUUGGGGUGUUCAGGCUUCCUAAAAGUAAUACCCGGGUAUUAGGUUAUGGGGCUAUGGUAAGGUUUAAGGUUUAUGGCAUUAGGGUUAAAAUCACUGUCCAAAACCUUUGUAGGAACUCUUUUCCAACCUUUUGGAGUUAGUUACACCAACAAAAAUGUAAAAUGAAAAAAAAAUAUUUGGGGUUUUCGGGCUUCCUGAAUGUAAUACCCGGGUAUUAGAUUUUAAGGCCAGGGAAAGGUUUAAGUUUUUUGGCGUUAGGGUUAAAAUCACUGUCCAAAACCUUUGUAGGAACUCUUUUCCAACCUUUUGGAGUUAGUUAGACCAAAAAAAAAAACGAAAAAUGAAAAAAAAAUAUUUGGGGUGUUCAGGCUUCCUAAAAGUAAUACCCGGGUAUUAGGUUAUGGGGCUAUGGUAAGGUUUAAGGUUUAUGGCGUUAGGGUUAAAAUCACUGUCCAAAACCUUUAUAGGAACUAUUUUCCAACCUUUUGGAGUUAGUUAGACCAAAAAAAAUGAAAAAUGAAAAAAAAACAGAAAUGUAAAUCUGAUCAAUGUCCUAAGGGAAAAUCUGUACGUGUGUGUGUGUGUGUUCUUUUUUGCUAACUUAGUCUGGUGUCACUGAUGGUCAGUUAUUGAUAAGUAUUUAUUAUUUAAAUUUUUGAUGAAGUUGUUUGUAGUGGGGUUAGCUGGCUAAUUUUAGAGUGUUAAAAAAGAUGAUAGAGGGGGAGGAUUUAGGGGGCACGGCGGUUCCCCUUCAGGUCUCUCUUAAUCCUCCAUAUAGGUGACCCAACAGGGGUUACCCCCCGGCCGGGGUAGGCCGAGGCUGAAGAUCACCUAUUUGUCCUCUGUGAAGGUGAAAAUAAAGGGGCAGGGGAGGGAAUAAGAAAGGGGGGUGUUAGAGAGAGGGGGAGAGAUGAGGGGGAGAGAUGAGGGAGAGAGAUGAGGGAGAGAGAGAGAGAGAGAGAGAGAGAGAGAGAGAGAGAGAGGUGUGUGUGUGUGUGUGUGUGUGAGAGAGAGAGAGAGAGAGAGAGAGAGAAGGGAAGAGGGAGAGGGGGGUUUAAGGGAGAGGUGGAGAUGGUGGAAAAUAAAGAUUGGUGAGGGGGAUGUUGACAUAUCACAUGUUCCCAGUCAAGUCUCCAAGCUCAAUCUGUGUGUAAAAAUUAUGUGUUGGUAGGAAGUUUAAUGACUCCACUCAAUUGGUAUGCCAUGCUGUCUAUCUUUUAGACUAUGUGUUUGUAAAUUAUGUAUAUAUUAUAUUACAGGGCUAGGGUAAGGUUAAAGGUUUUGGCGUUAGGGUUAAAAUCACUGUCCAAAACCUUUGUAGGAACUCUUUUCCAACCUUUUGGAGUAAGCUAGACCAAAAAAAAAAAAAAUGAAAAAUGAAAAAAAAAAUGUUUGGGGUGUGAAGGCUUCCUUAAGUUAAUACCCGGGUAUAAGGUUCGGGAAUAGGGUAAGGUUUAAGGUUUUUGGCGUUAGGGUUAAAAUCACUGUCCAAAACCUUUAUAGGAACAUGUUUCAGACCUUUUGGAGUUAGUUAGACCAA